rnacentral:rRNA from 1 species
UACGUAGGGGGCAAGCGUUGUCCGGAUUUAUUGGGCGUAAAGAGCGUGUAGGCGGUCAGAUAGGUCCGUUGUGAAAACUCGAGGCUCAACCUCGAGACGCCGAUGGAAACCAUCUGACUAGAGUCCGGAAGAGGAGAGUGGAAUUCCUGGUGUAGCGGCGAAAUGCGCAGAUAUCAGGAAGAACACCCGUGGCUAAGGCGGCUCUCUAGUACGGUACUGACGCUGAGACGCGAAAGCGUGGGGAGCGAACAGG